rnacentral:rRNA from 1 species
GUGGGGAAUCUUCCGCAAUGGACGAAAGUCUGACGGAGCGACGCCGCGUGAGUGAAGAAGGCCUUCGGGUCGUAAAGCUCUGUCAUCAGGGACGAACGGCCGGUGGAGUGGAAAGCCACCGGAUUGACGGUACCAGAGAAGGAAGCCACGGCUAACUACGUGCCAGCAGCCGCGGUAAUACGUAGGUGGCAAGCGUUGUCCGGAAUUAUUGGGCGUAAAGCGCGCGCAGGUGGGAUCUUAAGUCCAUUUUUAAAGUUCGGAGCUCAACUCCGUGAUGGGAUGGAAACUGGGAUUCUUGAGUACCGGAGAGGAAAGCGGAAUUCCCCGUGUAGCGGUGAAAUGCGUAGAUAUGGGGAGGAACACCAGUGGCGAAGGCGGCUUUCUGGACGGUGUCUGACACUGAGGCGCGAAAGCCAGGGGAGCGAACGGGAUUAGAUACCCUUGUAGUCC